CCUACGGGAGGCUGCAGUGGGGAAUUUUUCGCAAUGGGGGAAACCCUGACGAAGCAACGCCGCGUGGAGGAUGAAGGCCUUCGGGUCGUAAACUCCUGUCGACCGGGACGAAAGUAGGAUGGCCUAAUACGCCGAUCUAUUGACUGUACCGGUGGAGGAAGCCACGGCUAACUCUGUGCCAGCAGCCGCGGUAAUACAGAGGUGGCUAGCGUUGUUCGGAAUUACUGGGCGUAAAGGGCGCGUAGGCGGCUUGGUCAGUCCCGUGUGAAAUCCCUCGGCUCAACUGAGGAACUGCACGGGAAACUGCCUGGCUUGAGUUCGGGAGAGGGAAGCGGAAUUCCGGGUGUAGCGGUGAAAUGCGUAGAUAUCCGGAGGAACACCGGUGGCGAAGGCGGCUUCCUGGACCGACACUGACGCUGAGGCGCGAAAGCUAGGGGAGCAAACGGGAUUAGAUACCCGGGUAGUC
rnacentral:rRNA from 1 species